UGGGGAAUUUUGCGCAAUGGGGGGAACCCUGACGCAGCAACGCCGCGUGCGGGACGAAGGCCUUCGGGUUGUAAACCGCUUUCAGCAGGGAAGACACAGACGGUACCUGCAGAAGAAGCUCCGGCUAACUACGUGCCAGCAGCCGCGGUAAUACGUAGGGUGCAAGCGUUAAUCGGAAUUACUGGGCGUAAAGCGUGCGCAGGCGGUUCGGAAAGAAAGAUGUGAAAUCCCAGAGCUUAACUUUGGAACUGCAUUUUUAACUACCGGGCUAGAGUGUGUCAGAGGGAGGUGGAAUUCCGCGUGUAGCAGUGAAAUGCGUAGAUAUGCGGAGGAACACCGAUGGCGAAGGCAGCCUCCUGGGAUAACACUGACGCUCAUGCACGAAAGCGUGGGGAGCAAACAGGAUUAGAUACC
rnacentral:rRNA from 1 species